rnacentral:rRNA from 1 species
ACGGAAGGCAGCAGUGGGGAAUAUUGCACAAUGGGGGAAACCCUGAUGCAGCGACGCCGCGUGAGUGAAGAAGUAUUUCGGUAUGUAAAGCUCUAUCAGCAGGGAAGAAAAUGACGGUACCUGACUAAGAAGCCCCGGCUAACUACGUGCCAGCAGCCGCGGUAAUACGUAGGGGGCAAGCGUUAUCCGGAUUUACUGGGUGUAAAGGGAGCGCAGGCGGUCUUGCAAGUCUGAAGUGAAAGCCCGGGGCUCAACCCCGGGACUGCUUUGGAAACUGUAGGACUAGAGUAUCGGAGAGGCAAGUGGAAUUCCUAGUGUAGCGGUGAAAUGCGUAGAUAUUAGGAGGAACACCAGUGGCGAAGGCGGCUUGCUGGACGAUAACUGACGCUGAGGCUCGAAAGCGUGGGGAGCAAACAGGAUUAGAUACCCUGGUA